AAUUGUGACCUUCGAGAUUUUUUAAAAAUGCUACUGAAAUAAUAAAAGUAGAAACAUUACUUAACAUUUCUGCUUAUAUAGAUUACUGAAGCAGGGCUUAUUUGCAAUUGAAAUUCAAACCUAGUGCCCUUGUAAAAAGAAAUAACAAUACAGAAUGUUGAAUCCUUCACCCAUUAACAUUUGAAAACAAUAUUAUAUAAUAGCUUUCUUUGUUUUCAUUUAAAUAGAAAUGUUCCCUCUUUAGUGGUACAACCUAUCAGUUUCAGUAUGUAUGUACAAUAUUUAUUACAACAUUAUCUGGCUUUGAUAGCUAUUGUCCUAGAGAUUUAUUUCUCUUCAGACAUAUACCAGCGUGUUUGCAUCUUGGAAGAAUGGCAAUUACGUGCACGCAACUCAAUGGAGGAUUUCAUUCUGACAUACAAUCUCAUUAAACAGCAGUACUUGAAUCUAAGUCAAUUCAUGACUAUAACACAUAACUGUUUUAGUAUGCUCUCGUUCGGUAUGAAAGACUUCUGUAUUAAUUUAAUUGCACCUUUUUCCGAUCAACCUGCUUUCAACUCAACAUCAGGUUCUUCAGGGAAGCUUAUUCCACUGUUCCCUACCAGGAUGACAGGCCACAAUCUAUUUUCUUUUUCACAGGAUAGAUCGUUUCACCUUUCUUCACAAUAUCUGGGAACUGUACAGCCAGAAGAACUGCCUGCCUCAGGGGAGCGUGCUUGCUCCAUCAAUGUUUAACAUCUACACAAAUGAUCAGCCAUUGCCAGAAGGUACAGAGAGUUUCAUCUAUGCUGACGAUCGUGACAUCACCGCCCAAGCAGGGAGCUUUGAAAUGGUUGAACAGAAACUCUAUGAAGCUUUAGGUGCUCUUCCUGCCUAUAGCAGGGAAAACAAGUGAACCCUAAUCCAUCUAAAACACAGACAUGUGCUUUUCACCUUAUGAACAGACAAGCACCUGGUAAGGAAUCCACCUGGAGCAUUGCAGCACACCAAAAUACUUGGGAGUUACCCUGGAACUGUGCCCUGACUUACAAGAAGCACUGCUUGACUAUCAAGCAAAAAGUGGGCACUAGAAAUAACAUCGUACGAAAGCUGACUAGCACAACCUGGGGAUCACAACCAGACACAGUGAAGACAUCUGCCCUUGCACUUGCUACUCUGCUGCUGAAUAUGCAUGCCCAGUGUGGAAUACAUCUCUCCACAUUAAAACAGUGGUUGUGGCUCUUAAUGAGACAUGCUGCAUUAUCACCGGAUGUCUAUGCCCCACACCAAUGGAGAAAUUAGCCGGCAUUGCACCACCUGACAUCUGCCGGGAAGUAGUAGCCAGCAAUGAAAGGAUCAAGGCAUUGUCAUCUACUGCCCACCCCGUUUGGGUAUCAACAGCUGAUGCUGGAUGAGAGACUCUCUCCUGGGCACACAGAAGACUGGGUGACUUGAAAGGUGCUGUACAGACUACUCUCUGGCACCAUGGGAUGCAGAGCCAGCCUUAAGAAAUGGGGCUACAAAGUGGAGUCCACAGCAUGGGAGUGUGGAGAAGAGCAAACCACAGAUCACCUGUUACAAUGCAGUCUGAACCUUGCCACAUGCACAAUGGAGGACCUUCUUACAGCAACACCAGAGGCACUCCAAGUGGCCAGCUGCUGGUCAAAGGACAUUUAGUAUAAUGCCAAGUUUUUAAAACGUUGUUUGUGUUUGCAAAUACAUUACAACUUGUACCAUUGGUUCGUUUCUGAUACAAUAAAUAAAUAAAUAAAUAAAUAAAUAAAUAAAUAAGCUUUUUGUCUCUAGAAAAUAGACAUUUACCAUACCUUUUUGCAAAGAACAGUUAGAAUAAACCGACAGCCUUCACAUUCUUGCUUUCUAAAGUUAAACAUUAUCAACUUUGAACUGGAUUAUAUGAGUCUACACUGCCAUAUAAUCCACUUUGAAGCAGGCAAUAUGGCAGCGUAGAUAUUGGGGCCUAUGAGUUAGGGUAGCUGCUAUAGAUCUAUUGGCGAAACAUCUAACCGUAUAUUUAGACUUUCUUCCUCCACUCUUUUUUUAACCAUCUGGCUUGAUAAAACUCAAAACUUAUGUACUUUUAUGACAUUUUAGUUGAUUUUUUAAAAAUAUUACCAAAAAAGAAAAGAUAUGCAGGAACUCCUUGCAAUAAAGCAGCAGAACUGUAAGGUAAAGAUAAAGGUAAAGGUUUCCCCUGACAUUAAGUCCAGAAGUGUC